rnacentral:rRNA from 1 species
UGGGAAUUGCGCAUGGGCGAAGCCUGACGCAGCGACGCCGCGUGGGGGAUGAAGGCCUUCGGGUCGUAAACCCCUUUCAGCAGGGACGAAAUUGACGGUACCUGCAGAAGAAGCGCCGGCCAACUACGUGCCAGCAGCCGCGGUAAUACGUAGGGCGCAAGCGUUGUCCGGAUUCAUUGGGCGUAAAGGGCUCGUAGGCGGUUUGGUAAGUCGGGUGUGAAAACUCACGGCUCAACUCUGAGACGCCACUCGAUACUGCCAUGACUAGAGUCCGGUAGAGGAGUGUAGAAUUCCUGGUGUAGCGGUGAAAUGCGCAGAUAUCAGGAGGAAUACCGAUGGCGAAGGCAGCACUCUGGGCCGGUACUGACGCUGAGGAGCGAAAGCGUGGGGAGCAAACAGGAUUAGAUACCCUGGUAGUCCACGCCGUAAACGUUGGGCACUAGGUGUGGGUCCUAUCCAACGGGAUCCGUGCCGUAGCUAACGCAUUAAGUGCCCCGCCUGGGGAGUACGGCCGCAAGGCUAAAACUCAAAGGAAUUGAC